GCGUCGGUUUAGCUCAGUGGUUACUUCUACAAUCCACGUAUCUUUCUCUGACGGGCUGCUGUCCGUCGGAGAUCGACCACGGGCGCUGUCCGAUGCUUUU
rnacentral:vault_RNA from 11 species